rnacentral:rRNA from 1 species
CGGACGGGUGAGUAAUGUCUGGGAAACUGCCUGAUGGAGGGGGAUAACUACUGGAAACGGUAGCUAAUACCGCAUAACGUCGCAAGACCAAAGAGGGGGACCUUCGGGCCUCUUGCCAUCAGAUGUGCCCAGAUGGGAUUAGCUAGUAGGUGGGGUAACGGCUCACCUAGGCGACGAUCCCUAGCUGGUCUGAGAGGAUGACCAGCCACACUGGAACUGAGACACGGUCCAGACUCCUACGGGAGGCAGCAGUGGGGAAUAUUGCACAAUGGGCGCAAGCCUGAUGCAGCCAUGCCGCGUGUAUGAAGAAGGCCUUCGGGUUGUAAAGUACUUUCAGCGGGGAGGAAGGGAGUAAAGUUAAUACCUUUGCUCAUUGACGUUACCCGCAGAAGAAGCACCGGCUAACUCCGUGCCAGCAGCCGCGGUAAUACGGAGGGUGCAAGCGUUAAUCGGAAUUACUGGGCGUAAAGCGCACGCAGGCGGUUUGUUAAGUCAGAUGU